rnacentral:rRNA from 1 species
UACGUAGGGGGCAAGCGUUGUCCGGAUUUAUUGGGCGUAAAGAGCGUGUAGGCGGCCAGGUAGGUCUGCUGUGAAAACCCGAGGCUCAACCUCGGGCCUGCAGUCGAUACGGGCAGACUAGAGUCCGGAAGAGGAGAGUGGAAUUCCUGGUGUAGCGGUGAAAUGCGCAGAUAUCAGGAAGAACACCCGUGGCUAAGGCGGCUCUCUAGUACGGUACUGACGCUGAGACGCGAAAGCGUGGGGAGCAAACAGG